GCAAGCCUGACGGAGCAACGCCGCGUGAGGGGUGGAGGCCUUUGGGCUGUAAACCUCUUUUCUCAAGGAAGAAGAUCUGACGGUACUUGAGGAAUAAGCCACGGCUAAUUCCGUGCCAGCAGCCGCGGUAAUACGGGAGUGGCAAGCGUUAUCCGGAAUUAUUGGGCGUAAAGCGUCCGCAGGCGGCCGUUUAAGUCUGUUGUUAAAUCGUGGAGCUCAACUCCAUCACGGCAAUGGAAACUGUUCGGCUUGAGUAUGGUAGGGGCAGAGGGAAUUUCCGGUGUAGCGGUGAAAUGCGUAGAUAUCGGGAAGAACACCAGUGGCAAAAGCGCUCUGCUGGGCCAUUACUGACGCUCAUGGACGAAAGCCAGGGGAGCGAAAGGGAUUAGAUACCCCUGUAGUCCUGGCCGUAAACGAUGAACACUAGAUGUUGGGGGAAUCGACCCCCUCGGUGUCGUAGCUAACGCGUUAAGUGUUCCGCCUGGGGAGUACGCACGCAAGUGUGAAACUCAAAGGAAUUGACGGGGGCCCGCACAAGCGGUGGAGUAUGUGGUUUAAUUCGAUGCAACGCGAAGAACCUUACCAAGGCUUGACAUCCUGCGAAUCUCCAAGAAAUUGGAGAGUGCCUUUUGGAACGCAGUGACAGGUGGUGCAUGGCUGUCGUCAGCUCGUGUCGUGAGAUGUUGGGUUAAGUCCCGCAACGAGCGCAACCCACGUUUUUAGUUGCCAGCAUUCAGUUGGGCACUCUAGAAAGACUGCCGGUGACAAACCGGAGGAAGGUGUGGACGACGUCAAGUCAUCAUGCCCCUUACGCCUUGGGCUACACACGUACUACAAUGCUGCGGACAAAGAGUAGCGAUCUUGCGAAAGUUAGCUAAUCUCGUAAACCGUGGCUCAGUUCAGAUCGUAGGCUGCAACUCGCCUACGUGAAGGAGGAAUCGCUAGUAAUCGCAGGUCAGCAUACUGCGGUGAAUACGUUCCCGGGCCUUGUACACACCGCCCGUCACACCAUGGAAGUUGGCC
rnacentral:rRNA from 1 species